GACAGAGGCCUCAAGCGUUAGGCGGAAUCACUUGGGCUUAAAGCGUGUGUAGGCGGAUCGUUAAGUGUCUUGUGAAAUCCCACGGCUCACCCGUGGAACUGCUGGGCAUACGUGGCGAAUCUUGGGCCAACUAGGGGCAACUGGAACAAGCGGUGGAGCGGUGAAAUGCGUAGAUAAUCGCUUGGAACGCCAAAGGGUGAAAACAGGGUUGCUGGG
rnacentral:rRNA from 1 species